rnacentral:rRNA from 1 species
GUCGAGCGGACAGAAGGGAGCUUGCUCCCGGAUGUUAGCGGCGGACGGGUGAGUAACACGUGGGUAACCUGCCUGUAAGACUGGGAUAACUCCGGGAAACCGGAGCUAAUACCGGAUAGUUCCUUGAACCGCAUGGUUCAAGGAUGAAAGACGGUUUCGGCUGUCACUUACAGAUGGACCCGCGGCGCAUUAGCUAGUUGGUGAGGUAACGGCUCACCAAGGCGACGAUGCGUAGCCGACCUGAGAGGGUGAUCGGCCACACUGGGACUGAGACACGGCCCAGACUCCUACGGGAGGCAGCAGUAGGGAAUCUUCCGCAAUGGACGAAAGUCUGACGGAGCAACGCCGCGUGAGUGAUGAAGGUUUUCGGAUCGUAAAGCUCUGUUGUUAGGGAAGAACAAGUGCAAGAGUAACUGCUUGCACCUUGACGGUACCUAACCAGAAAGCCACGGCUAACUACGUGCCAGCAGCCGCGGUAAUACGUAGGUGGCAAGCGUUGUCCGGAAUUAUUGGGCGUAAAGGGCUCGCAGGCGGUUUCUUAAGUCUGAUGUGAAAGCCCCCGGCUCAACCGGGGAGGGUCAUUGGAAACUGGGAAACUUGAGUGCAGAAGAGGAGAGUGGAAUUCCACGUGUAGCGGUGAAAUGCGUAGAGAUGUGGAGGAACACCAGUGGCGAAGGCGACUCUCUGGUCUGUAACUGACGCUGAGGAGCGAAAGCGUGGGGAGCGAACAGGAUUAGAUACCCUGGUAGUCCACGCCGUAAACGAUGAGUGCUAAGUGUUAGGGGGUUUCCGCCCCUUAGUGCUGCAGCUAACGCAUUAAGCACUCCGCCUGGGGAGUACGGUCGCAAGACUGAU